rnacentral:rRNA from 1 species
GGGCCCGCACAAGCGGUGGAGUAUGUGGUUUAAUUCGAUGCAACGCGAAGAACCUUACCAGGGUUUGACAUCCUGCGAAUCUCUUGGAAACAGGAGAGUGCCUUCGGGAACGCAGUGACAGGUGGUGCAUGGCUGUCGUCAGCUCGUGUCGUGAGAUGUUGGGUUAAGUCCCGCAACGAGCGCAACCCACGUCUUUAGUUGCCAGCAUUUAGUUGGGCACUCUAGAGAGACCGCCGGUGAUAAACCGGAGGAAGGUGUGGAUGACGUCAAGUCAUCAUGCCCCUUACAUCCUGGGCUACACACGUACUACAAUGCUACGGACAAAGGGCAGCAAACUCGCGAGAGCUAGCAAAUCCCAUAAACCGUGGCUCAGUUCAGAUCGUAGGCUGCAACUCGCCUACGUGAAGGCGGAAUCGCUAGUAAUCGUGAAU